AAACUAACAAGGAUUCCCCUAGUAGCGGCGAGCGAAGCGGGAAGAGCUCAAAUUUAUAAUCUGGCACCUUCGGUGUCCGAGUUGUAAUCUCUAGAAGUGUUUUCCGCGUUGGACCGCACACAAGUCUGUUGGAAUACAGCGGCAUAGUGGUGAAACCCCCGUAUAUGGUGCGGACGCCCAGCGCUUUGUGAUACACUUUCAAUGAGUCGAGUUGUUUGGGAAUGCAGCUCAAAUUGGGUGGUAAAUUCCAUCUAAAGCUAAAUAUUGGCGAGAGACCGAUAGCGAACCAAGUACCGUGAGGGAAAGAUGAAAAGCACUUUGGAAAGAGAGUUAACAGUACGUGAAAUUGUUGGAAGGGAAACGCUUGAAGUCAGACUUGCUUGCCGGAGCUUGCUUCGGUUUGCAGGCCAGCAUCAGUUUUCCGGGGUGGAUAAUGACGGUUUGAAGGUAGCAGUCUCGGCUGUGUUAUAGCUUUCCGUUGGAUACGCCCUGGGGGACUGAGGAACGCAGCGUGCUUUUUGCGAAAGACUCGUCUUUUUCACGCUUAGGAUGGCUGGUGGAAUGGCUUUAAACGAC
rnacentral:rRNA from 1 species